UCACAUUUAAACCCUACAGCUUCCUGCCCACAUCACACACCAUAAACAUUGCAACGUGAAAAUUGUCGUCCCUCCAGAACCCCGAAGGCGCGAUCCCUCUCAAUUGAAACCAUUUUGACUCCUACCGUUUUCGAACUAGCUUGAUACUAUUCUCACUCUCUCACGUGGAAGCACUCAUCAACUCAGCGCAUUCAAUUUUACCAUACUCUCACGAAUCAUGUUAAGCCCCAAUCGCUUGAUGAAGCUGUUGAUUCCUUCACUCGCAUGCUCUCUAUGCGUCGUACUCCUCCCAUCAUCCAAUUUAACAAGAUUUUGGGAUCCCUUUCCAAGACGAACCAUUUCCACGCUGCCGUUUCCCUUUUUCAGCAAUUGCAAGGCAGAGGAAUCGCUCCCGACUUAUUUACUUUGAGCAUCGUAAUUAAUUGUUGUUGCGGCAUGGGUCGUAUGGCGCUUGCUUUCUCUAUAUUGGCCAAGAUUUUCAGGAUGGGUUUUCAGCCUAAUACCAUAACGUUGAAUACACUCAUUAAAGGUCUCUGUCUCAUUGGUAAUGUUGAAAAAGCACUGCACUUUCAUGACAGAGUGCUGGCUCAUGGAUUUCAGUUUAAUCAAGUCACUUAUGGGACCUUGAUCAAUGGCCUCUGUAAGACCGGACACACAUCAGCUGCUAUUCAAGUGUUGAGAAACAUCCCACGGUAUGGGAUUGUUCCUAAUGUCGUAAUGUACAGCGCAAUUAUUGAUAGUCUGUGCAAGGAUACACUUGUAAGCGAUGCUUUUCAUUUAUAUUCUGAAAUGCUUGCUAAGGGAAUUUAUCCUAAUGUUAUCACAUACAGUUCUCUCAUUUUUGGAUUGUGUCUUGUGGGUCAAUUUAAGGAAGCCAUUGAUUUGCUAAGUGAUAUGGUGCUUAAAAACGUUACUCCCAAUGUUUAUACUUACAAUACUUUGAUUGAUGGGCUAUGCAAGGAAGGAAAGAUCAAAGAUGCUAAGAGUGUAUUGGCUGUAAUGGCAAAAUCUGGUGUAAAACCAGAUGUAGUUACUUAUACCAGCUUAAUGGAUGGAUAUUGUUUGGUUAAUCAGGUGAAUAAGGCAAAAUAUGUAUUCAACACAAUGGCACAAAGUAGAGUGUCACUUGAUGCUCAAAGUUACACUAUCAUGAUUAAUGGCUUGUGCAAAAGUAAAAUGGUCGAUGAAGCCUUGAGUCUCUUUGAAGAAAUGCGUCGUAAGUACUUGGUUCCAAACACUAUAACCUACAGCACUCUUAUUGAUGGCUUGAGCAAAUCAAAGAGAAUCUCUUGUGCUUUGGAGCUUCUUGUCAAGAUGCACGAAAGAGGUCCACCCGCUAAUGUAGUCACUUACAAUUCCUUGUUGGAUGGGAUGUUUAAUAUCAAACAAGUUGACAAGGCACUUAUGUUAUUCAAGCAAAUGAAAGAGAGUGGCAUUGAUCCAGAUAUAUGCACGUACAAUGUACUUAUUGAUGGCCUAUGCAAAGGUGGAAGACUUGUAGUUGCAAAAGAGAUUUUUCAAGAUCUUUCUGUGAAAGGCUAUCCUCCAAAUGUGAGGACAUACACUAUUAUGAUCAAUGGGCUCUGCAGAGAGGGCUUGUUUGAAGAAGCAUUGGCCCUGCUGUCGGAAAUGGAACACAAUGGUUGCUUACCAAAUGCUGUGACUUUUGAAACUGUUAUUCGUGCUUUGUUUGAAAAAGAUGAGAAUGACAUGGCGGAGAAAUUUCUUCGGGAAAUGGUUGCUAGAGGCUUAUUGAAUUGAUAAAAGAAGGAUUUGGGUCCACGAUGGACCACUUACAAGACUAAAAGAGAGAUUUCCCAACAAAACUUGUCUAAAUCAGGAAACAACAUUGAAAGGGAAGGAAAGAGUAAAGUGAAAACUUCUUCUUCAGACAUUUCUAAUCUUCUUCGCAUUCCUCAGUCGAGCAAGCACGCUUGGAACUCUGAUUCACUCCUUCUGGCUCGUUCAAGGACACAAGCCUCAUCGAACUCUUCACCGUCAAACAUGAAUCUGUUGCGAGCCUUCCAUAUCUCCCACAUCAGGGACUCCAAUUUCGGAUCUGAGCCAAGUGGACCAUGACUGAGCACAGCUAAUUAUGCAGUGUUGGACUGUUUCUUCCAUCGCGGUACAUCUUCGACAGGUUGGGGGUAUUGUUCUGAUUCUUCCAUGGAGUUGUUGGUUCACCGGCAAUCCCUUGUGCAUUACUUUCCAGAGGAAGAUUCUUAUUUUCGGUUGCACUUUCAGGUCCCAAAUAGAAGUCCAGAGCUUCUUCUGCUGGCAGUGGAGUGGCAUCAGAUCGAGUGGAGGGUGGUAGAACUAGUGCGCCAGUAAAUAUCCUGAAGCCACGGUGUAGCAACCCUUUUUCUCCCUUGGCCAGGUAACUGAAUCAUCCCCUUCCCCAAUUUCAGUUUGUAAAAUAUUAUGUGCAAUAUCUGUACUGAAUUGUUCUGCAAUGAGCUGUUGGUUCCAUUGCUUGUUUUCGUUUAGGAGUUGAUUAACCCAAAUUAGUUGUGAGUUAGUAGGAAUUAACAUCUGAGUAGAUAAUGCUUGUUGAUUUUUGAUCCAAGAGUCCUCCAUUUACAUAUGGGUAAAUACCAAUCUACCAUGUUAUAUGUAUAAAUUUAACUGGCUACACAUUAAUCCAAACUAUGUUGAAGCUCUCUAGUGUGAAUUUUCCUUUAUACUUUGAUUUGUAUUUGGCCCCUUUGGAAUCAAUUGUGAGACACUAGAGUACUUCUCAACUAAUUUGGUUUCUUGUUGAACCCAUACUCACUAGAUUUUAAACUUCAAAAAUCACUUCAUCUUAAACGGAUGAAAUAUUGCUGUUGCUAUAAACUUUGCAAAGCCAAUCUUUGCAUUAUAAUUUGGUUCUCAUUUAUAUACUUCCAUUCUAACUUUGUGUGGUGCGUGCUGCAUAAAACAGUUUUAGACUUAAGCAAACAGUACUCCAAAUAAACAUUUGAUACUGCAAAGGGAAUAAUUUUGCUUUAUGGUGAGAGUAUAUGAUAUACAAUGUGUUUUGGAUAUUGCAAGUUCAUCAAGAGUUGUUUGAGACUCUACAGAAAGGGAAAAUUUUAAUAUAGUUAACCAAUUCUUUGUUCAUUUUCACUGACAUACAAAAUGGGAGCUCAAGUUGAAUAGUAUAUUUUAUUUUUUAUUUUUUUUUUCAGUUUUCGUUAUGCAAUCCACAAUGCAGUUCUUUUCAGGUUUUACCAUUUGUAGGGAAUUUA